rnacentral:lncRNA from 1 species
CGCCGGGGAAGCCGCGCUGGAGCUCCAGUCCUGGCUCUGACUGACUCUUCCUAGCGUAGGCGGUCCAGGGCGGCUGGAGCCUUUGGGCCUCAGUUUCCUCAUCUAUAAAAUUAGCGAGAGCGAGGAUACUGGACCCCAGCCGCAAACCUCACGGCGCCGGGCUGGGACCAGAGGAAAACGCUCGAGUAACCCUGGCGGGAGAGGCCACUCGCCUCCCGACAGUCAGCCCUAGCGGAACCCAGCACGGGCAGGUGCAGCCGCCGCGCAGGUGUCCCGCCCAGGACGGACCACGGCUAGGAGGGGACAGGUGGUUUCCUCUCCCCCUCCCGCGGACCCUCCGUCGUCACCUCAUCAAAUAGUCCCGGAAAUCCUUGCUCCGGACAUAGUCGGCCGCUUUCCGCACCAGCGCCCCUGCCAUGGCUGCUGCUGCCGCCGCUACCGCCGCUGCCGCCUCGGCUCUACCCCAAUGACAACCCAGCCGACCCAGCCCGGACGGGCAGGAAACUCCACUCCGCUGCCCCCCCCCAACAGUAGCAGCCUCACCACAGCACCGCCCGCAUUUUACGGCAUCCUCCCCUCUCUCCCUCCCUCUCCGUCUGAGGGGCGAUUAGCUCCAGGGGACAGGAGCGGGCCACUGAUUGGUUUCUCGCAUGCUACACACCCCUUUCCCACCCCUCCGUUGGUGGGUGAGGGGAGGGGGCCGUAAAGCACCGCCGAACCCAUUUGCUAAGGAAUGGCAGUUCCCCCACCCGGAGGAGAGGAGGAAGGGGGCGGGGCGAGAGCCUCUGAGGGCUCCUCGGGAUUGGCUGAACGAGUGGGUCCCCACCCAUUGGCCGACCGCGGCGUGGUCUGCUCCCCAAUUAGCGGCCUGCUAGGUGGCUCGCUGUCCCGCCCCGCUAUCGUUCCGUUUGUCUUCCCUCAAGGGCGCCCUUGGGGAGGUGCUGUAUCUGAGCAGGCUCCUCGCGCUUGUGCUGCUCCCCUUCCUCCUUCCCGCCCCCAUCUGAGUCUCCCGACGUCGGGUGUCCAAGUGGGCUGCUCCUCUCACGCGGGGUCCCCUGAGAACCCUCCACCCUCCGCUCCUAAAAGCCGAAUACACUGGCUGCUAGUCACCCCCGCUUGGCCCGCGGCUGAGCAGAGGUGAAAGUGUCUUAAUCUCCUGAGACAAGAUUGUAUAAGUGCCUAGUUGUGGUUCAUCUAUGAGUCCUGGUUGUACAACGCUCACCUCAAUAUCUUCUGUGAGUGGAUAUUCAGCCUUUAUGUGAUGAUGUUUAGUGAAGAGAAAUGCAAUGCCACCAGGGUCACCCCAUUCUACAUCUGGAUUGGUAAGUUUUUCAUAACCUCAAGCUAAAGCUUUGCAAAGCAAAUAGCCUGGCACAUAGUAGGCAUUUAAUAAAUACUUGUUGACUUAUCUUGAAAUUUUUCA